GUGCCAGCCGCCGCGGUAAUACCGGCAGCUCGAGUGAUGUCCAAUAUUAUUGGGCCUAAAGCGUCCGUAGCUGGCCGCGCAAGUCCGUCGGGAAAUCCACCUGCCCAACAGGUGGGCGUCCGGCGGAAACUGUGUGGCUUGGAACCGGAAGGCUCAGAGGGUACGUCCGGGGUAGGAGUGAAAUCCUGUAAUCCCGCUCGGACCGCCGAUGGGGAAACCACCUCAGGAGAACGGAUCCGACAGUGAGGGACGAAAGCCAGGGUCUCGAACCGGAUUAGAACCCCAGUAGUCC
rnacentral:rRNA from 1 species